UUGAUCAUGGCUCAGGGUUAACGCUGGCGGUGUGUAUAAUACAUGCAAGUCGAGCGCCCCGCACUUUGUUUACAAUUCGUUUGUAGGUGAAGUGCGGGGAGCGGCGAACGGCUGAGUAACACGUUGGUAACUGCCCCAAACUCAGGGAUAACAUCUAGAAAUAGAUGCUAAUACCGGAUAGUCCCGAAAGGGUAAAGAUUUUUCGGUUUGGGAGGUGCCUGCGACCUAUCAGUUUGUUGGUGAGGUAAUAGCUCACCAAGACUAUGACGGGUAGCUGGUCUGAGAGGAUGAUCAGCCAGAAUGGGACUGAGACACGGCCCAUACUCCUACGGGAGGCAGCAGUAAAGAAUCUUCCACAAUGGGCGAAAGCCUGAUGGAGCAACACCGCGUGAACGAUGAAGGUCGAAAGAUCGUAAAGUUCUUUUCUGAGGGAAGAAUUCUGACGGUACCUUAGGAAUAAGCACCGGCUAACUCC
rnacentral:rRNA from 1 species